rnacentral:rRNA from 1 species
AAUGAACGCUGGCGGCGUGUCUUAAGCAUGCAAGUCGUGCGGCAAGGGUAGCAAUACCCCUAGAGCGGCGGACUGGUGAGUAACGCGUGGGUGAUCUGCCUCCGGGAUGGGGAUAGCCACUAGAAAUAGUGGGUAAUACCGAAUACGUUCACCGAACUGUGGUUUGGUGAGGAAAGGCGCUUCGGCGCCACCCGGAGAUGAGCCCGCGUCCCAUUAGCUAGUUGGUGAGGUAAAAGCCCACCAAGGCGAUGAUGGGUAGGCGGCCUGAGAGGGUGUACGCCCACACUGGGACUGAGAUACGGCCCAGACUCCUACGGGGGGCAGCAGUAGGGAAUUUUCGGCAAUGGGCGAAAGCCUGACCGAGCGACGCCGCGUGAGGGACGAAGGCCUUCGGGUUGUAAACCUCUGUCUGGGGGAUGAGAACGGACGGUACCCCGGAGGAACGCCCGGCUAACUACGUG